rnacentral:rRNA from 1 species
GCCUUCGGGAACUCUGAGACAGGUGCUGCAUGGCUGUCGUCAGCUCGUGUUGUGAAAUGUUGGGUUAAGUCCCGCAACGAGCGCAACCCUUAUCCUUUGUUGCCAGCGGUUCGGCCGGGAACUCAAAGGAGACUGCCAGUGAUAAACUGGAGGAAGGUGGGGAUGACGUCAAGUCAUCAUGGCCCUUACGAGUAGGGCUACACACGUGCUACAAUGGCAUAU